rnacentral:tRNA from 1 species
GCCGGCUUAGCUCAGAUGGUAGAGCAGUUGCCUUGUAAGCAUCAGGUCGAGAGUUCGAUUCCCUCAGCCGGCACCA